AUCGCUUCUCGGCCUUUUGGCUCAGAUCAAGUGUAGUAUCUGUUCUUAUCAGUUUAAUAUCUGAUACGUCCCCCAUCGGGGGACUACAUAUUAAAUGGAUUUUUCGAACAGGGAGUCGGAAAUGGGGCUUGCUCCGUCCGCUCCACGCAUCGACCCGGUAUUGCAGUACCUC
rnacentral:snRNA from 8 species